CCAGACAUAUACAAAAACUCCUACAAGACCAGGUAUAAACUCACCCUGUUAACCCGACUCAGGAGCGCCCAUAAGAGAGAUUAAAAUCUGUGAAAGGAACUCGGCAAAACAAGGCCCGACUGUUUACCAAAAACAUAGCCUUCAGCAAACAAACAAGUAUUGAAGGUGAUGCCUGCCCAGUGACCUAGGUUAAACGGCCGCGGUAUCCUAACCGUGCAAAGGUAGCGCAAUCAAUUGUCCCAUAAAUCGAGACUUGUAUGAAUGGCUAAACGAGGUCUUAACUGUCUCUCACGGAUAAUCAG
rnacentral:rRNA from 1 species